rnacentral:lncRNA from 1 species
UGUACUGCCACAUCCUGCCAGGCACACAGCCUCUGACCCUCCGAGGCUUACUGACAGCUCCUGCAGCCGCAGCCAGCCCACACAAGCCUGCCUUCCCAGACCCCGGUGACCCGAGACUCUACUCGCACAAAGCAUCUUGGAGAGGGGGCUGGUUCUUCAACACAGGUGAACCUCAAGCACAUGGGGUUGGAGAGAGAGAGAGAGAGAGAGCGAGAGAGCGAGAGAGAGAGCGCACUAGCUCAUGUUUGUCAGGUGGUUCUGCACCCGGUGUUUAGUUCCUGCAGAUUGCACCAGAAAUGAGGAAUGCAGUUUUUAAAAUAUUAACUUGCUGACAUGCCUGUAUGGAAAUUUCCCAAGCGGCUGUGACCACAAUAAACACCCCACACCCCCAG